UGAGGAAUAUUUGUCAAUGGACGAGAGUCUGAACCAGCCAAGUAGCGUGCAGGAUGACGGCCCUAUGGGUUGUAAACUGCUUUUGUUUGGGAAUAAUCGACAUUACGUGUAAUGUUUUGCAUGUACCAUUCGAAUAAGGACCGGCUAAUUCCGUGCCAGCAGCCGCGGUAAUACGGAAGGUCCAGGCGUUCUCCGGAUUUAUUGGGUUUAAAGGGAGUGUAGGCGGUUGGUUAAGCGUGUUGUGAAAUGUAGAUGCUCAACAUCUGACUUGCAGCGCGAACUGGCUGACUUGAGUACACACAACGUAGGCGGAAUUCAUGGUGUAGCGGUGAAAUGCUUAGAUAUCAUGAAGAACUCCGAUUGCGAAGGCAGCUUACGGGAGCGCAACUGACGAUGAAGCUCGAAGGUGCGGGUAUCGAACAGG
rnacentral:rRNA from 1 species